CGCCCCCUGAGUCCGAGAUCCCUUUGCCGCCCCCUUACUUUCCUUUAAGAGGAAGUGACGCGAAUGCAGGAAGCUCUGCACCCCUUCCCCUAUUGCCCCCAUCCACUUCCGCUUCCUCCUCCAGUUCAGAAUCCACCCCCCCUCGUAUUAAAACUCCCCUUCCGGAACCAGGACCAACCCCCAUUAGAUCUGAAUAUCCUGAUUU